UACAGAGGGUGCAAGCGUUGUUCGGAAUUAUUGGGCGUAAAGGGCGCGUAGGCGGAUGUCUAAGUUGGGGGUGAAAUCCCGGGGCUCAACCUCGGAACUGCAUCCGAUACUGGCAUGCUAGAGAAUUGGAGAGGAGUCUAGAAUUCACGGUGUAGCAGUGAAAUGCGUAGAUAUCGUGAGGAAUACCAAGUGCGAAGGCAGGACUCUGGACAUUUUCUGACGCUGAGACACGAAGGCUAGGGGAGCAAACGGG
rnacentral:rRNA from 1 species